rnacentral:lncRNA from 1 species
AGUUUGGCGUUGAAAUCAAUUACUAGUUUAUAUGGGUAUAUAGUUGGCUAUUUAUGUCCAAGUUCAGGAAAGACACUAGAUUUGAAGAAAAACAAUUAGUAGCCAAUAGCUUGUAGAUGACAUUUAAAGGCAUGGGACAGAAUGAGCUCAUCUGAGGAAAGAAGAUAGUUAAAGAACAGGGCCAAGGGCCAAGCUGUGGCCUUAAGCCAAUAUUUUGAGGUCAGGAAAAGAAGAAAUUCAACAUAAGGAAUGACAAUGAGCUAGGAAAAGCAGAAAGGAUGUGACCAACUGUGUUAAAUGCUGCCAAGAGGUAAAACAUGAUGAAGUCCAGUAAUUGACUGUAGGGUCUGGUAGGACAGAGGUCAUGGUUGCUGAUCUAAAAGAAAACUGUUUUGUAGCAAUACUGGAGAUGCAAGCCUCAGUAAAGUGAGCUGAAGGACAUAAACAUAACCAAUAAGAAAGAAGAGGUGUAGACAAUUGUUUCCAGGAGUAUAGCUUUAAAAGCAGAGAAAAAGAUAAGUUGGUAGAUGGUAUGUGGAAGACAUACUGUUGAGAGACUGAGUUUUAUUUCUUUGUUUUAUUGUUUCUUUUAGAAUGGCUGAUAUUAGACAUGCAUGUGCAUACAGCAAAGGGAGUAACCCAAUAGUGAGGAAGAAAUUGAUGCUGUAGGAGAGAGGGAAUAAUUGCCGAAGCAAAGAUCUUGAGGUACUGAGAAAGGAUGACCUUAAUUUCCUUAAUGAUGCAGCCUGCUUCCACCGAGGGACUGAAGGCUCUUUGAGCAAAAUUAUCUACCUGUUCACCUUUGGAUCUUUCACAGUUCCCAGGUGUCUUACUGGAAGGCUGUGGGCCGAUGCCAGGUGACAUGAUAGACAAUUACUGGACUAAUUUGCAAAGCGCAUUUCUGAAGUCACAUUUUUUGCUUGACAUGGAUUCCAUCUUCACAGAGAAGCAGGUCCUGAGUUCUUGUCCCGCAUCCAGGAAGAAUGAGGUUAUGUGA